ensembl:lincRNA
AUGUAUACUUCCCUUAAAUCCACCUUCGUAGCAUUUGCUGAUGAUAUGAGAUUGGGGCCCUCAUUCAUACUAACUGGAAUUUUCCUUGGCAAUGGUAGAACAGAAGCUUCUCCAUUCUUUAGAGAUGAAUUUGCUUUAAGUAAGAUCUUCCCAGAGUACAAAAGAAAUUUAUUCGGAAAAUUUCAAACUAAUAUGGCCUUGUCACUGGAACUGGAUCCACCAUCCUUUUUUCUCAGUGUCGUCUUGUUUAUGUUUUAGAUCUUUUGCAAGGUGAGCUACACCUCUGAGAGGAGCUCCUGGAAAUUACCAGAGAUACUUAAUGUUGCCAGCUGUUACAGAUGGAGAUGAUGCACCCUGAUGAUGAAUAAGUACUGAGCCUGAAUCCUACAAAUGGGAAAAGGUGCUCAUAUCAGACUUAUGCAUUAGAUAUCAAACUACAAAAUACAAGUGCAGUUGAUACCUGUUUAGAUGAUGUAGAGCAAGGUAACAGAGUAUGUAUUAAAAGCAAAAAUUCCCAUGAAGCUGAACCGUUACUCUCUGCCAAAACCUCCCACUCUCAAGUUUUAAGAGCCAAUAAACCUUGUAUCUGUACGU